GAUGAACGCUGGCGGCGUGCCUAAUACAUGCAAGUAGAACGCUGAAGGAGGAGCUUGCUCUUCUGGAUGAGUUGCGAACGGGUGAGUAACGCGUAGGUAACCUGCCUGGUAGCGGGGGAUAACUAUUGGAAACGAUAGCUAAUACCGCAUGACAACAGUUAUUGCAUGAUAACUGUUUAAAAGGGGCAACUGCUCCACUACCAGAUGGACCUGCGUUGUAUUAGCUAGUUGGUGAGGUAACGGCUCACAAGGCGACGAUACAUAGCCGACCUGAGAGGGUGAUCGGCCACACUGGGACUGAGACACGGCCCAGACUCCUACGGGAGGCAGCAGUAGGGAAUCUUCGGCAAUGGACGGAAGUCUGACCGAGCAACGCCGCGUGAGUGAAGAAGGUUUUCGGAUCGUAAAGCUCUGUUGUAAGAGAAGAACGAGUGUGAGAGUGGAAAGUUCACACUGUGACGGUAUCUUACCAGAAAGGGACGGCUAACUACGUG
rnacentral:rRNA from 1 species